GUGGAAAAUGUGGUUUCUUUUAUUGGGUGA
rnacentral:piRNA from 1 species